rnacentral:rRNA from 1 species
UACGGGGGGGGCAAGCGUUGUUCGGAAUUACUGGGCGUAAAGGGCGCGUAGGCGGCCUGCUAAGUCGGACGUGAAAUCCCUCGGCUCAACCGGGGAACUGCGUCCGAUACUGGCGAGGCUUGAAUCCGGGAGAGGGAUGUGGAAUUCCAGGUGUAGCGGUGAAAUGCGUAGAUAUCUGGAGGAACAUCAGUGGCGAAGGCGACUUUCUGGUCUGUAACUGACACUGAGGCGCGAAAGCGUGGGGAGCGAACAGG